GACACAGACAUUGGUACUGGAUCGGAUGAAGCCCAGUCUCCAAUUGCACACGACCUCUAUGGCAAUCGAGAGUGGCCCGAUACUUUCCCAACCAGUCCAUACCUAGGAUCACUUCGUGAUUCUCUAGGUGGACACAGACCAAAUCCACCGGGAAUACCUUUCCCUGAAUUGACACUGGGAUAUUUGACAUGAGACCUAGUGAGUUCAUGGCUUGCCCUCCGG
rnacentral:lncRNA from 1 species